rnacentral:lncRNA from 1 species
ACGGACUGGAGAGGGCGUUCGCCUGUUGAUAUGAUGGCUGCCACCGCCACGCUGUUGGUUGUGACACAUGGCUUCCUCUAAUUGUAUAUUUCAUUUGCACUUGGAGAGGAGAAUAACUGCGAACUUAAAAAAAAAAACGUUUUGAAAAAAAAAUAAACAUCGUACGGUUACACAAGUCUCGUCAUCUGUUUAGAUGAACAUCCGGACGUGGAAUACUCUUAGGAUUGAGUUGUGAAACAUAUUUGGAAGAACAUCCCCAACAUUUCUUGAAGUCCUGUCACUGGAACGGAACAUGAAGAGUGGUUCAAGUUGAAUGGAUGGAGGGGAUUUAGUAGGCUUAGUUUAGGUAGACAAGGUCCAAUUAGUCAACUACGUCUUGGGGUGGUCAAUUUGAGUUUUAAUUAGGCGAUAUUGGAUCAAAUUCAGCCCACUUCUGUGAUUUUUUCCCUAAAAUAAUAAUUUCAUGUAUUCUACACACGUGCCUUGCCAUGAACGUCUAAUUCAAUAUUCCCUUCCGCUCUCCUGGGCCUCAGAAUU